rnacentral:rRNA from 1 species
UACGUAGGGUGCGAGCGUUAAUCGGAAUUACUGGGCGUAAAGCGUGCGCAGGCGGUUCGUCGUGUCCGAUGUGAAAGCCCCGGGCUCAACCUGGGAAUGGCAUUGGAAACUGGCGGACUCGAGUGUGGCAGAGGGGGGGUGGAAUUCCGCGUGUAGCAGUGAAAUGCGUAGAGAUGCGGAGGAACACCGAUGGCGAAGGCAGCCCCCCUGGGCUAACACUGACGCUCAGGCACAAGCAA